CCUACGGGAGGCAGCAGUGGGGAAUAUUGGACAAUGGGGGCAACCCUGAUCCAGCCAUGCCGCGUGUGUGAAGAAGGUCCUCGGGUUGUAAAGCACUUUCAGUGAGGAAGAACGCCUGGUGGUUAAUACCCAUCAGGAAAGACAUCACUCACAGAAGAAGCACCGGCUAACUCCGUGCCAGCAGCCGCGGUAAUACGGAGGGUGCGAGCGUUAAUCGGAAUUACUGGGCGUAAAGCGCGCGUAGGUGGCUUGAUAAGCCGGUUGUGAAAGCCCCGGGCUCAACCUGGGAACGGCAUCCGGAACUGUCAAGCUAGAGUGCAGGAGAGGAAGGUAGAAUUCCCGGUGUAGCGGUGAAAUGCGUAGAGAUCGGGAGGAAUACCAGUGGCGAAGGCGGCCUUCUGGACUGACACUGACACUGAGGUGCGAAAGCGUGGGUAGCAAACAGGAUUAGAUACCCUAGUAGUC
rnacentral:rRNA from 1 species